AAGCAGAUAUCUUUUCUCAAAUUCACCCUAGUUUUGCACAGCAUGUGGUGUGAUUGCCGGCCUGGUGUCAGGUUACAAAGGACGUUAGGUACUAGUGAUUAGUAUUUUUAGUUUCUAUAGGUCAUAAGCUUUCUACUGAUAUAUAGUUUGUCAUAACUCUGGUGAAUAUCUUUAAAAUUACAGCCAUUUCAAAAAUGGCCAUCAAUCCAUGUGUACCCCCCCCUUAAGAUAUUCCGUACGUCACCGUUUAUGCACACAUGCAACCAUGCAUACUACCUGUUUACCUGACCCUGGAGUCUUGACGUCUAUUCAUAACACCAGCAGUAACAUAUAAUUGUUUUGUUUAUGUGGAACAUAUCAUUUAUAUGCUAAUAAAUGAAUGUAGUAAAGGCACAAAAACAAACUAAUUAUAUUUCUACACAUAACCUGUUUAUCUAAUAUCGUGGCUGCUGGCUCUGGUACAAAACUACAAAAGGAACUGCAAACAUAAGUGGUAAUUUAUGACAUACAUUUAGGUAUGUCAACUAAUCACGUGGCUUGUUGAGAAUUUGGUAUCCACUUCAUUGAAUGUUGAUUGAAAUUAUUGAAUGUCACGUAAUCUUCAUCGCAGCCGCAAAGAGCAGCUUUGAUUAGAUGUAGGGCCUUUUUGGAGCAAUCAUAUAGUGCAAACAUCGAUCUUAUCAUGUGUCGAAUCUUUGAAAUCAUUUGCAUUAGGAUCGACACCCAAAUCUGUGCAGGGUAUUACACGAGCCAUUGCCGUGCUGAGAAAAACGACAGCUUAUUGUACAUACGUAAAAAUCUCC